rnacentral:rRNA from 1 species
UACGUAGGGUGCGAGCGUUGUCCGGAAUUAUUGGGCGUAAAGAGCUCGUAGGCGGUCUGUCGCGUCGGUCGUGAAAACUUGGGGCUUAACCCUGAGCUUGCGGUCGAUACGGGCAUGACUAGAGUUCGGAAGAGGCGAGUGGAAUUCCCAGUGUAGCGGUGAAAUGCGUAGAGAUUGGGAAGAACACCGGUGGCGAAAGCGCUCUACUGGCCUGCACUGACAGCUCAUGGACGAAAGCUAGGGGAGCGAAAGGG